rnacentral:tRNA from 1 species
GAGGAUAUGGCUCAGUGGGACAGUGCUUGCAUAGCAAGCAUGAAGUCCUGGGUUUGAUUCCCAGUACUGCCA